AUGCAGCCAUGCCGCGUGUAUGAAGAAGGCCUUCGGGUUGUAAAGUACUUUCAGCGAGGAGGAAGGCAUUGWGGUUAAUAACCWCAGUGAUUGACGUUACUCGCAGAAGAAGCACCGGCUAACUCCGUGCCAGCAGCCGCGGUAAUACGGAGGGUGCAAGCGUUAAUCGGAAUUACUGGGCGUAAAGCGCACGCAGGCGGUCUGUCAAGUCGGAUGUGAAAUCCCCGGGCUCAACCUGGGAACUGCAUUCGAAACUGGCAGGCUAGAGUCUUGUAGAGGGGGGUAGAAUUCCAGGUGUAGCGGUGAAAUGCGUAGAGAUCUGGAGGAAUACCGGUGGCGAAGGCGGCCCCCUGGACAAAGACUGACGCUCAGGUGCGAAAGCGUGGGGAGCAAACAGGAUUAGAUACCCUG
rnacentral:rRNA from 1 species